rnacentral:rRNA from 1 species
AUUGAACGCUGGCGGCAGGCCUAACACAUGCAAGUCGAACGGUAACAGGAAGACGCUUGCUUCUUUGCUGACGAGUGGCGGACGGGUGAGUAAUGUCUGGGAAACUGCCUGAUGGAGGGGGAUAACUACUGGAAACGGUAGCUAAUACCGCAUAACGUCGCAAGACCAAAGAGGGGGACCUUCGGGCCUCUUGCCAUCUGAUGUGCCCAGAUGGGAUUAGCUAGUAGGUGGGGUAACGGCUCACCUAGGCGACGAUCCCUAGCUGGUCUGAGAGGAUGACCAGCCACACUGGAACUGAGACACGGUCCAGACUCCUACGGGAGGCAGCAGUGGGGAAUAUUGCACAAUGGGCGCAAGCCUGAUGCAGCCAUGCCGCGUGUAUGAAGAAGGCCUUCGGGUUGUAAAGUACUUUCAGCGGGGAGGAAGGGAGUAAAGUUAAUACCUUUGCUCAUUGACGUUACCCGCAGAAGAAGCACCGGCUAACUCCGUG